UUCCGGCGACGCACCGGUCACUCACCGUCAAUCAUCCGUUUACUCCACUCAUCACAGUACAAGUUUCGUUCUUCAUAAUUGCGAUUUUUCAAACUUGUUUAACUCUUCAAUUCGAAUGAUUUUAUCAUCAAUUGUCACACCCACUUCGCCUCUCUUCCUUCAUCAAUCGCCCCUCAAAUUCUCAUUCUUAAGGAAUAUACAAGAUGGAAACAAAUGAUAUUCCAAAGAAUGAAGAACUGUGAAGAAUGAAACAGUAUGCUCAAAAUGUGACAACUUUAAGACUAACAAUGACAAACUCUUGAAGGAU
rnacentral:lncRNA from 1 species